UUAAAAGCGUUGAAAUUGAGGAGUAAAUAUAUUCUGAUGUUUAGAGAGAGAAGUUUAAGGUGAAAAUUCUUCUGAUGAAUAUAUUGAAGGUAGCUAUUGAGCUUCAAAUAGAAAUCUAUUGAGAGUAGAAUUUGGCGGAAUCCCACCGUUACAAGGGAUAGAAGUAGAAGUUUUUGCUUUUAACAAAGUGUGUACAAAUUGUACAAAAAAAGGUGGUACCGCGGAGAUGUAUCCUUCGUCCUUAUU
rnacentral:ncRNA from 1 species